GACGAACGUUGGCGGCGUGCCUUACACAUGCAAGUCGUACGCGAAAGGGUGAACCGGCUUGCCGGGGAUCCCCGGUAGAGUGGCGAACGGGAGCGUAACACGUGAGGAACCUGCCUUGGAGGUGGGGAAGUAACCCAGAGAAAUCUGGGCUAAUUCCGCAUGAUGCAUCGGACCCGCAUGGGUACCGUUGUUAAAGAUCGCCUCUGCUUGCAAGCGAUCGCUUCGAGAUGGCCNCGCGGCCUAUCAGCUAGUUGGUGAGGUCAUGGCUCACCAAGGCGACGACGGGUAGCCGGCCUGAGAGGGUGUCCGGCCUCAUUGGGACUGAGACACGGCCCAGACUCCCUACGGGAGGCAGCAGUGAGGAAUCUUGCGCAAUGGGCGAAAGCCUGACGCAGCGACGCCGCGUGAGGGAUGAAGGCC
rnacentral:rRNA from 1 species